GGCCCCGUGGUGAGACACAUUAGAUUGCAAAUCUAAAGACGCAGAAUGACUUCCUGCCGGGGCUU
rnacentral:tRNA from 1 species